rnacentral:rRNA from 1 species
AGCGGCAGGCUUAACACAUGCAAGUCGAGGGGCAGCACGGGUAGCAAUACCUGGUGGCGACCGGCGCAAGGGUGCGUAACGCGUGAGCAACAUGCCCUAUACAGGGGGAUAAUCCAGGGAAACUUGGUCUAAUAUCCCAUAGUAUUUAGAGGAGGCAUCUUCUAUAAAUUAAAGCUUCGGUGGUAUAGGAUUGGCUCGCGUGACAUUAGCUAGAUGGUGAGGUAACGGCUCACCAUGGCAAUGAUGUCUAGGGGUUCUGAGAGGAAGGCCCCCCACACUGGGACUGAGACACGGCCCAGACUCCUACGGGAGGCAGCAGUGAGGAACAUUGGACAAUGGAUGGAAAUCUGAUCCAGCCAUGCCGCGUGCAGGAAGACAGCCCUAUGGGUUGUAAACUGCUUUUAUAUGGGAGCAAUAAGGUCUACGUGUAGACUGAUGAGAGUACCAUAUGAAUAAGCAUCGGCUAACUCCGUG